rnacentral:tRNA from 1 species
GCUCUGGUAGUCUAGCGGCCAGGAUUCCACCCUGUCACGGUGGAGACCCGGGUUCGAUUCCCGGCCAGGGCG